CGCUCUUUGUCUUCGCCUCAUCGCCAUUCAAAUACAAAUUCGCCUGAAAAUUAUUUUCUCUAGACACACGCCCCUCCUUUUCUCUUUCUUAAUCUCCUUAUUACCACCACUAGUUCAUUUCCUUCUCCAGAUUCUUCCCCUUCACUAUCUCCCAUCCCUCUCACUUUGCCCUUCAAUUCUGUUUUUUUCCAGGUAAAAAUACGAGCUUUGUCUCUGUUAGUUCUUGCAUUUCCAAAGCAUUCCUUUCUGUUUCCAGCGUUUUU
rnacentral:misc_RNA from 1 species